rnacentral:rRNA from 1 species
UACGUAGGUGGCAAGCGUUGUCCGGAAUUAUUGGGCGUAAAGCGCGCGCAGGCGGCCUCUUAAGUCUGAUGUGAAAGCCCCCCGGCUCAACCGGGGGAGGGCCAUUGGAAACUGGGAGGCUUGAGUAUAGGAGAGAAGAGUGGAAUUCCACGUGUAGCGGUGAAAUGCGUAGAGAUGUGGAGGAACACCAGUGGCGAAGGCGACUCUUUGGCCUAUAACUGACGCUGAGGCGCGAAAG